AUAGCGUAUAUUAAAGUUGUUGCAGUUAAAAAGCUCGUAGUUGAACUUGGGCGCGGCUGAUCGGUCCGCCUCACGGCGUGCACUGAUCUCGGCCGUGCUUUCCUCUUGGCCUGCCCGAGAGCGCUUGAUUGUGCGCUCGGGAUGGGUCAGGACUUUUACUUUGAAAAAAUUAGAGUGUUCAAAGCAGGCAUUUGCUCGGAUACAUUAGCAUGGAAUAAUAGAAUAGGACGUCGAUCUUAUUUUGUUGGUUUCUAGGACCGCCGUAAUGAUUAAUAGGGAUAGUUGGGGGCAUUAGUAUUCAAUUGUCAGAGGUGAAAUUCUUGGAUUUAUUGAAGACUAACUACUG
rnacentral:rRNA from 1 species